UAUUAAUUAAGCGCCUGAUCAGUAUUUAUGCUGAUGACGAGGGUAGAGUUUAUCGAUAUUUCGGCGGGUACUCUAUGGCAUAAGCUUGUCAUUAUUUAUUAUUAAAAACUAAUAGUAAUAUUAGAACAAAAAUAAUAAAAUA
rnacentral:ncRNA from 1 species